GGCGGCGUGCUUAACACAUGCAAGUCGAACGAUGAUCUCCAGCUUGCUGGGGGGAUUAGUGGCGAACGGGUGAGUAACACGUGAGUAACCUGCCCUUAACUCUGGGAUAAGCCUGGGAAACUGGGUCUAAUACCGGAUAUGACUCCUCAUCGCAUGGUGGGGGGUGGAAAGCUUUAUUGUGGUUUUGGAUGGACUCGCGGCCUAUCAGCUUGUUGGUGAGGUAAUGGCUCACCAAGGCGACGACGGGUAGCCGGCCUGAGAGGGUGACCGGCCACACUGGGACUGAGACACGGCCCAGACUCCUACGGGAGGCAGCAGUGGGGAAUAUUGCACAAUGGGCGCAAGCCUGAUGCAGCGACGCCGCGUGAGGGAUGACGGCCUUCGGGUUGUAAACCUCUUUCAGUAGGGAAGAAGCGAAAGUGACGGUACCUGCAGAAGAAGCGCCGGCUAACUACGUGCCAGCAGCCGCGGUAAUAC
rnacentral:rRNA from 2 species